UAACGUAACCGGGUGAACAAAGGGGUUUAGAAACGUUCGAUGUGGGCGGGUGAGACAGAGAGAAAAGGAAAGAGCGACACAGUAAAUGGGUGUGGAGGUUUCACACAGGGUUUCAGUCCCGGCUCUCAGUCCUGUCACUAAACAACUUAUAUGGCACUCUGGCUCUCACCGGGACAGGUCAGACUCGGGGCUGUUGAUUCCUACUACAGCGGCAGGAUUGGUGUUUAGAUGACCAUGUGUGGAAAUCUUAACUGAGACUUUUACAUUUAAAAGAAAAGGUGUCACCUUAAACUGGAAUCCUGUAAAGAAGAAGAAGAGAAUACACCUGCCUACUAAAAUAAAUAACACACUGGACAAACUAAGGAAUCGCUGGUUUUACUGAAGGAGUACAGUCAGACUGAGGAACCGAUUCAAAACAGCACCUUUUAAAUUUGAUCAGACAUGGCUGACUCACCUCACACCUGUGUAAAGAUGGAGGAAGUGGUCCCACUGCAAACCGUACCGACGUCAGGUGAAACUUGCAAUCAGGUGACCAGCUCUGGACGGGGCGUCGCGUCCUGCUGCGAUGACAAGCACCACAGGACACUGGCCAUCUGCAGCAUCAUCUGCGGGAUCUCCUGCAUCGGAAUCAAAGCUUUGAUUAAUUCAGUCAAGGCUGAGGAAACAGAAGAUCCAGAGACAGCGGCAAAGUUUUCACAACAGGCGCGAAAAUUGGGCAUCAUCUCUGUGGUGACGUGGGUUGGCAUUCUGAUUUCAAUCCCCAUCCUGCUGGCACUGGGCUCAUAUCUUCUCACUCUGCAAGACUGACCAACUUUGAUAAGCUUCUACUGAGGGGAAACAGACAGAGCGGCUCUUUUGAUUCUGGAUGUUUAUAGAGAAAAAGGAGACAACACAAAGCUGCUUAUCGGUGACUAAAAAACCAUGAAGGCGUGAAGAAACUGGAAGUUACACGAGACACAGCUUUGGCCUUCAUCUGUGCUGCUGCUCCAGUUUACACUUCUGUGCUUCCUCUUAACCAUUUAUACUUUUUACACAAGGAACAACAUAGUAUUAAACAUUUUUCCAUGUUUUCUUAUACGCUGUAAUAUUUAUUUACCAAUAUAUGAACAUAUGGACAAAUCCAAAUCUAAAUGACCAUAGAAAAUCCAGCAUUACCUAUAGUUUGAGACAUGACACUAGAUAACGCAUAUACAUUAUGUAUUAAAGAUAAUGGUUAUUUCCCAGUACUGACCCAAUUCUUAAUAUUCUGGCACCAUAAACACCAUUACUGUUUACCGUACUUAUUUUAGACGUUUAUAUACUUGCAGUUACUAGAAAAGUUAAUAAAUUAGUCUGUGAAUGUGAAACACACACACCUGUUGAUGAAGGACUGGGUCUGUACUGGAAAUAACAUGGCAUGGCAGUGAUCAUGGCAGUGCUUCUUCACAACAUCCUGCUCCUGUUGUGCCAACGUUUCCUUGGCAUUAUUGCAUUUUUACCAUAUUAGCUUUAUUAAUGUAUCGUAACGUAUCGAUAUGUUGUAUUUUUAUACAAUCAUAUAACAUUUUAUAAUAAAAUGACAAAAACCUU